UCAGUCGACUCCUACGGGGAGGCAGCAGUGGGGAAUAUUGCACAAUGGGGGAAACCCUGAUGCAGCCAUGCCGCGUGUGUGAAGAAGGCCUUCGGGUUGUAAAGCACUUUCAGUAGGGAGGAAGGUAGUGCAGUUAACACCUGCAUUAUUUGACGUUACCUACAGAAGAAGCACCGGCUAACUCCGUGCCAGCAGCCGCGGUAAUACGGAGGGUGCGAGCGUUAAUCGGAAUUACUGGGCGUAAAGCGCAUGCAGGCGGCCUGUUAAGUCAGAUGUGAAAGCCCGGGGCUUAACCUCGGAAUUGCAUUUGAAACUGGCAGGCUAGAGUCUUGUAGAGGGGGGUAGGAAUUUCAGGUGUAGCGGUGAAAUGCGUAGAGAUCUGAAGGAAUACCAGUGGCGAAGGCGGCCCCCUGGACAAAGACUGACGCUCAGAUGCGAAAGCGUGGGGAGCAAACAGGAUUAGAUACCCUGGUAG
rnacentral:rRNA from 1 species